AGAAUGAACGUUGGCGGCGUGGAUUAGGCAUGCAAGUCGUACGGGCCGCAAGGCCAGUGGCGCAAGGGUGAGUAAGGCGACGGUAACCAACCCCGCGAUCGGGUAUAGCCGCGGGAAACCGCGGGUAAUCCCCGGCGACGUCCGGAGGGGGCAUCCCUUCCGGACCAAAGCCCCGGCGUCGCGGGACGGGCUGUCGUGGUAUUAGCUUGUUGGCGGGGUAACGGCCCACCAAGGCUUUGAUGCCUACCGGGCGUGCGAGCGUGGCCCGGCACACUGGGACUGAGACACUGCCCAGACUCCUACGGGAGGCUGCAGUCGAGAAUCUUCGGCAAUGCACGAAAGUGUGACGGAGCGACGCCGCGUGUGGGACGAAGCCCUUCGGGGGUGUAAACCACUGUCAGGGGAUAGAAAGUUCUGAUCAUCCCAGAGGAGGCACGGCUAACUCUGUGCCAGCAGCCGC
rnacentral:rRNA from 1 species